AUGCGCGUCGGGAAUGGUUCCAAGGUCGAUGUGAUCGCCAUCGGCACGCUACUUCUACAUCUACCUUCGGGAUUAGUUUUAGACCUAAAUAAUUGUUAUCUGGUGCCAGCGUUGAGCAUGAACAUUAUAUCUGGAUCUUGUUUAGUGCGACACGGUUAUUCAUUUAAAUUAGAGAAUAAUGGUUGUUCUAUUUAUAUGAGUAAUAUCUUUUAUGGUCAUGCACCCGUGAAGAGUGGUCUAUUUUUGUUGAAGCUCGAUUGUGGUGAUACACACAUUCAUAAUAUUGAUGCCAAAAGAUGCAAAGUUGAUAAUGAUAGUGCAACAUAUUUGUGGCACUGCCAUUUAGGACAUAUUAGUGUAAAGCGCAUGAAGAAACUACAUUCAGAUGGACUCAUGUAA
rnacentral:rRNA from 1 species